rnacentral:rRNA from 1 species
UAUCCUCAGGUGAGCGAGAGAACUCUCGUUAAGGAACUCGGCAAAAUGGCCCCGUAACUUCGGGAGAAGGGGCGCUGGUCGCAAGAUCAGCCGCAGUGAAAAGGCCCAAGCAACUGUUUAUCAAAAACACAGGCAUCUGCAAAAUCGUAAGAUGAAGUAUAGGUGCUGACACCUGCCCGGUGCUGGAAGGUUAAGAGGAGAGCUUAGCGCAAGCGAAGGUUUGAAUUGAAGCCCCAGUAAACGGCGGCCGUAACUAUAACGGUCCUAAGGUAGCGAAAUUCCUUGUCGGGUAAGUUCCGACCUGCACGAAAGGUGUAAUGAUUUGGGCACUGUCUCAACGAGAGACUCGGUGAAAUUAUAAUACCCGUGAAGAUGCGGGUUACCCGCGACAGGACGGAAAGACCCCAUGGAGCUUUACUGCAGUUUAAUAUUGGGUAUCUGUCAAGCAUGUACAGGAUAGGUAGGAGCCGGAGAAGAUAGGACGCCAGUCUUAUC